AUAAGCCUGAGCAAUCUCCCCUAUUAUCUCUGCACAAACCUCCUAAUUGUUCUCUCAAUUGGAGAAAUUCACAUACGCAUCACGCGAAUAUAAACAAAUCCAGGUUUUCCAUUCAUUUCACCUGUCACCCGAAGUAAAUUAGAAAUAAUAAUAUUCAUCUUUGUUCUCGCUUCUUGCCAUCGGUGGGUGAUCAGCUAGUCUGUGAGAAUGGACGACGAUGACCAGUACCAGGCUGGCUACGAUGUGGGUUCAUUUCCCCAGGACUUCGGAUACACUCCCUUCGAUCCCGAGGGCGAUGGCUCCACGGGUCUACUUCCAGGAGAGCAGAAGCCCCGUAUCCUUCUCAUGGGCCUCAGAAGGAGUGGAAAAUCAUCAAUCCAGAAAGUGGUCUUCCAUAAGAUGUCGCCGAACGAGACGCUCUUCUUAGAAAGCACCAACAAGAUCAUAAAAGACGAUAUAAGCAACUCAAGUUUCGUGCAAUUCCAGAUCUGGGACUUUCCAGGUCAGAUUGACUUCUUUGAUCCGACUUUCGACAGUGACAUGAUCUUCGGUGGUUGUGGAGCUCUGGUAUUCGUCAUCGACGCUCAGGAUGACUAUAUGGAGGCCCUAAACAAGCUUCAAUUAACAGUGACAAAAGCCUACAAGGUCAAUCAAGCCAUAAAAUUCGAGGUUUUCAUUCACAAAGUCGAUGGUUUAUCAGACGAUUACAAGAUGGAGACUCAAAGGGACAUUCACACGAGGGCCAACGACGAUUUAGCAGAUUCAAACUACGAUCAGAUUCAUUUAAGUUUCCAUUUAACAUCUAUUUACGAUCACAGCAUCUUCGAAGCCUUCAGCAAAGUCGUGCAGAAAUUAAUUCCUCAAUUACCAACUUUGGAGAAUUUAUUAAACAUUUUAAUAUCUAAUUCAGCAAUUGAAAAAGCUUUUUUAUUUGACGUUGUUUCAAAGAUUUACAUCGCGACUGAUAGUUCUCCGGUGGACAUGCAGAGUUACGAACUUUGUUGUGAUAUGAUUGAUGUUGUAAUUGACGUCUCCUGCAUCUAUGGGUUGAGAGAAGAUCUGGAAGCUGCUGCCUUCGAUAAUCAGAGCUCCAGUUUGAUAAAACUUAAUAAUGGAACGAUUCUUUACUUGAGAGAAGUCAAUAAAUUUUUGGCUCUUGUUUGUAUCCUGAGGGAGGAUAAUUUUGAUAGACAGGGGGUCAUUGAUUACAACUUCCUGUGCUUCAGGAAGGCCAUCCAGCAGGUGUUUGAGCUCAGGAAUAAAGCGGCUAGUGCUAAUAACCAUUCGACGAGCCCGACUAGUGCUACUGAGGAAAAUAGUGCUCCUGGGGGACAGUCUGGCAAUAAUGGACAGAAUGGCACUGCUAUCGUGCUCGCACAGAGUUAAUCAAUGAGUCUCAUUUAAUAAGAUAGUGAGCGGUGAAAAAUUGGAGAAAGUGUCAACAUAUUUACAGGAAGAGCUAUAUCAGAUUCUUAGAAAGUAGGUGAGUCCAAAAAUGUUCUAACAAUCAUUUUGCAACUACCGUUGUAAAUAAGGAGUCCCGAGAACAACGUUAAUGUCAUUCACCAUUUUUUUGUAAACCUAUUCGUUACCGAAAUACUCUCAAAAUAAUUUCUGUUACAUUUUAGACUCACCUGUCUUCAGCCCUUCGCUACAUAAUCAAGUGAUUGAUUGAUCAACAUUAACAUCUGUAUAUUUGUACGAUGCAUUUAGCAUAAGAAUCAAAGAAUUAAAUGCGGCCGCUGAGGUUGUAACGAGACAAAUCGAAGAAGUUCUUUAUUGAUUGGUACCAGAGGUGGAAGACUGGUUCAUCGUAUUCACGGAGAAAAAUUUCAGUUGGAAUUUGUUUGGCU